rnacentral:piRNA from 1 species
UAGGUACCCACGUACUGUAAAAAUACAUGCA